rnacentral:rRNA from 1 species
CCUACGGCGGCUGCAGUGGGGAAUAUUGGACAAUGGGCGAAAGCCUGAUCCAGCCAUGCCGCGUGUGUGAAGAAGGCCUUCGGGUUGUAAAGCACUUUCAGUGGGGAAGAAAGCCUUGGGGCUAAUACCCUCGAGGAAGGACAUCACCCACAGAAGAAGCACCGGCUAACUCCGUGCCAGCAGCCGCGGUAAUACGGAGGGUGCGAGCGUUAAUCGGAAUUACUGGGCGUAAAGCGCGCGUAGGCGGUCUGAUAAGCCGGUUGUGAAAGCCCCGGGCUCAACCUGGGAACGGCAUCCGGAACUGUCAGGCUAGAGUGCAGGAGAGGAAGGUAGAAUUCCCGGUGUAGCGGUGAAAUGCGUAGAGAUCGGGAGGAAUACCAGUGGCGAAGGCGGCCUUCUGGACUGACACUGACGCUGAGGUGCGAAAGCGUGGGUAGCAAACAGGAUUAGAUACCCCGUAGUC